rnacentral:lncRNA from 1 species
CCUCAAUCCUCCUAUCCUCGGCAAAAGAAUACAUUUACAAUCUCUAGCAAUUCUGUUGACCUUAAAACAGUUUAACCACCAAGAAUUUGACAUCGCACAUAUAUGAAGAAAGUUGAAGACAUAAGAUCAAAGUGAUCAUGUAGAAAACAGAGCCACACUCUACACAUCCCGAAUCCUGAAAAAUCAGAAGACUUAACCUUAAUCAAGUGCUGUUACCACUUCUGAGUUCAAUUCCAAAGCCUGAGUGAAGAAAGCCUCCGUGACUGGGGCGUGAAGAGAUGACAGCAUUGUCAGCAGCUCUGCCUUUGCAGGAACUUGUGUCAUGGUGGAUUGCCUACCCCCACAGGCUCAAAGAGGUGCC